rnacentral:rRNA from 1 species
GACGAACGCUGGCGGCGUGCUUAACACAUGCAAGUCGAACGGAAAGGCCCUGCUUUUGUGGGGUGCUCGAGUGGCGAACGGGUGAGUAACACGUGAGUAACCUGCCCUUGACUUUGGGAUAACUUCAGGAAACUGGGGCUAAUACCGGAUAGGAGCUCCUGCUGCAUGGUGGGGGUUGGAAAGUUUCGGCGGUUGGGGAUGGACUCGCGGCUUAUCAGCUUGUUGGUGGGGUAGUGGCUUACCAAGGCUUUGACGGGUAGCCGGCCUGAGAGGGUGACCGGCCACAUUGGGACUGAGGUACGGCCCAGACGCCUACGGGAGGCAGCAGUGGGGAAUAUUGCACAAUGGGCGGAAGCCUGAUGCAGCGACGCCGCGUGCGGGAUGACGGCCUUCGGGUUGUAAACCGCUUUCGCCUGUGACGAAGCGUGAGUGACGGUAAUGGGUAAAGAAGCACCGGCUAACUACGUG